rnacentral:rRNA from 1 species
GAACAACCCCGGCCGCCCCCCCAACACCUUCCAAUUCAACCGAACCUAAAAAACCUUCCUUUUUAACCUAAUGGCCAACCGGUUAAUUACCCCUUAAUUACCCGCCCCAAAAUUGGGGAACACCAUUUGAAACCACCGGCAAUACCCCCAAAACCCCCGGUACCCCCUGGUACUGAGGGAAAAGGAUUUAUUCGCUUUAGGAUGGACUCGCGUCCAAUUAGCUAGUUGGUGAGGUAACGGCCCACCAAGGCGACGAUUGGUAGCCGGACUGAGAGGUUGAACGGCCACAUUGGGACUGAGACACGGCCCAGACUCCUACGGGAGGCAGCAGUGGGGGAUAUUGCACAAUGGGGGAAACCCUGAUGCAGCGACGCCGCGUGGAGGAAGAAGGUUUUCGGAUUGUAAACUCCUGUCGUUAGGGACGAUAAUGACGGUACCUAACAAGAAAGCACCGGCUAACUACGUGCCAGCAGCCGCGGUAAAACGUAGGGUGCAAGCGUUGUCCGGAAUUACUGGGUGUAAAGGGAGCGCAGGCGGGAAGACAAGUUGGAAGUGAAAACCAUGGGCUCAACCCAUGAAUUGCUUUCAAAACUGUUUUUCUUGAGUAGUGCAGAGGUAGAUGGAAUUCCCGGUGUAGCGGUGGAAUGCGUAGAUAUCGGGAGGAACACCAGUGGCGAAGGCGGUCUACUGGGCACCAACUGACGCUGAGGCUCGAAAGCAUGGGUAGCAAACAGGAUUAGAUACCCUGGUAGUCCAUGCCGUAAACGAUGAUUACUAGGUGUUGGGGGAUUGACCCCCUCAGUGCCGCAGUUAACACAAUAAGUAAUCCACCUGGGGAGUACGACCGCAAGGUUGAAACUCAAAGGAAUUGACGGGGGCCCGCACAAGCAGUGGAGUAUGUGGUUUAAUUCGAAGCAACGCGAAGAACCUUACCAGGUCUUGACAUCCGAUGCAUAGCACAGAGAUGUGUGAAAUCCUUCGGGACAUCGAGACAGGUGGUGCAUGGUUGUCGUCAGCUCGUGUCGUGAGAUGUUGGGUUAAGUCCCGCAACGAGCGCAACCCUUAUUGCCAGUUACUACGUUAAGAGGACUCUGGCGAGACUGCCGUUGACAAAACGGAGGAAGGUGGGGAUGACGUCAAAUCAUCAUGCCCUUUAUGACCUGGGCUACACACGUACUACAAUGGCGUUAAACAAAGAGAAGCAAGACCGCGAGGUGGAGCAAAACUCAAAAACAACGUCUCAGUUCAGAUUGCAGGCUGCAACUCGCCUGCAUGAAGUCGGAAUUGCUAGUAAUCGCGGAUCAGCAUGCCGCGGUGAAUACGUUCCCGGGCCUU